rnacentral:lncRNA from 1 species
AAAUGACCAAAUGACUUCACCAAGCAUCCAUAAGGAUUUGGUUAAUUGUUGUACUGUAGAGAUGACAAGGUCUAUGAUCAAUGCGAUGGAUGAUUCUUUGUUUUCAAUUUUGGUUGAUGAGCCUUAAAAUAAUUCUAUAAAAGAACAAAUGACAGUUGUUUUGAGGUUUGUUGACAAAAGAGGGCAAGUGAAGGAGCGUUUGUUGGGCAUUUUUCAUAUCGCUGGUACUUGUGCCCAAUCACUUAAGGAUGUCAUUGAUGCAAUGUUUUCUACACAUGGGUUGAGCAUAUCUAGCCUGAGAGGUCAAGGUUACGAUGGAGCAAGCAAUAUGUCACGUGAGUCCAAUGGCUUAAAUGCUUUAAUUUUAAGAGAGAACCCAUGUGCUAUGUAUAUUCAUUGCUUUGCUCACCAAUUUCAAUUGGCAAUUGUUUCUGUGGCACAUAGGAAUGUUAUGCUUAGUGAUUUAUUUAACAUGCUUGCUAUUAUUGUGAAUUUGGUUGGUGCAUCAUGUAAACGUGUAGAUGCUCAUCGAACAAGUUAUCAUUCUGAAUUUUGAAGAGACUUAAUAUUGAGGAUGGUGGAACUGGUCAGUUUCAAUAAAUGAGUUUGACACGCCCAGGUGAUACUAGAUGGGGCUCACAUCUAAAAACAAUUACUCACUUUAUAAGUAUGUUUAAUGCAAUCGUAGAUGUUCUUGAGAAUAUAUCAGAAGACGACAUAAGUUUAGAGCAAAACUUAAUGGCC